ACAUGCUUACAGCAUAGCGUUAAUGCAUUGGAUCCCAUUAGAACUCCACAGUUAAGUGCGCUUGGGCUAGAGUAAUAUUGGGAUGGGUGACUGCCUAGGAAGUCUUAGUAUUUUACAUGCC
rnacentral:rRNA from 1 species